CGGAACGGGGUGGAGUAACGCGUGAGGAACCUGCCUCAAAGAGGGGGGAAACAGUUGGAAACGACUGCUAAUACCGCAUAAGCCCACGGCUCGGCAUCGAGCAGAGGGAAAAGGAGCAAUCCGCUUUGAGAUGGCCUCGCGUCCGAUUAGCUAGUUGGUGAGGUAACGGCCCACCAAGGCGACGAUCGGUAGCCGGACUGGGAGGUUGAACGGCCACAUUGGGACUGAGACACGGCCCAG
rnacentral:rRNA from 1 species